ACCAGAAUCAGCAAUGGCAGCCUCAACAAUGGCCCUCUCUUCCCCUUCUCUCGCCGGAAAGGCUGUGAAGCUGUCUCCCUCAGCUCCUGAGUUGAUGGGAAACGGCCGUGUGUCCAUGAGAAAGACGGCGUCCAAAUCUGUUUCCUCCGGCAGCCCAUGGUACGGUCCGGACAGAGUCAAAUACUUGGGUCCAUUCUCCGGCGAGCCACCGUCCUACUUGACCGGUGAAUUCCCAGGUGACUACGGCUGGGACACUGCUGGUCUCUCUGCUGACCCAGAAACCUUUGCUAAGAACAGAGAGCUGGAAGUCAUUCACUGCAGAUGGGCCAUGCUCGGAGCUCUUGGCUGUGUCUUCCCUGAGCUCUUAUCUCGCAACGGUGUUAAGUUCGGUGAGGCUGUUUGGUUCAAGGCAGGAUCUCAGAUUUUCAGCGAAGGUGGUUUGGACUACUUGGGUAACCCAAGCUUGAUCCAUGCACAGAGCAUCUUAGCCAUCUGGGCUACACAGGUGAUUUUGAUGGGUGCCGUGGAGGGUUACAGAGUUGCAGGCGGUCCACUGGGAGAGGUGACCGAUCCCAUUUACCCUGGUGGUAGCUUUGACCCAUUGGGUCUGGCUGAUGACCCAGAAGCCUUUGCUGAGCUCAAAGUCAAGGAAAUUAAGAAUGGUCGGUUAGCCAUGUUCUCUAUGUUCGGUUUCUUUGUUCAGGCCAUUGUUACAGGAAAAGGUCCAUUGGAGAACUUGGCUGACCACCUUGCUGAUCCUGUAAACAACAAUGCCUGGGCUUACGCCACCAACUUCGUUCCUGGAAAAUGAGCUUGUAAUUGAAAUUAAUGUGUGAUUUUCAGAUUUUAAUUCAAGGUGGCGGUGUGU
rnacentral:lncRNA from 1 species